GACAGAGGUGCCGAGCGUUAUGCGGAAUCACUGGGCUUAAAGCGUGUGUAGGCGGAUCUGUAAGUACCUUGUGAAAUCCCACGGCUCAACCGUGGAACUGCUUGGUAUACUGCGGAUCUUGAGCCACCUAGGGGCGAGCGGAACAAGUGGUGGAGCGGUGAAAUGCGUAGAUAUCACUUGGAACGCCAAUGGUGAAAACAGCUCGCUGGGGGUGUGCUGACGCUGAGACACGAAAGCCAGGGGAGCAAACGGG
rnacentral:rRNA from 1 species